rnacentral:rRNA from 1 species
CGGGUAAGUUCCGACCUGCACGAAUGGCGUAAUGAUGGCCAGGCUGUCUCCACCCGAGACUCAGUGAAAUUGAACUCGCUGUGAAGAUGCAGUGUACCCGCGGCAAGACGGAAAGACCCCGUGAACCUUUACUAUAGCUUGACACUGAACAUUGAGCCUUGAUGUGUAGGAUAGGUGGGAGGCUUUGAAGCGUGGACGCCAGUCUGCGUGGAGCCAACCUUGAAAUACCACCCUUUAAUGUUUGAUGUUCUAACGUUGGCCCCUGACCGGGGUUGCGGACAGUGUCUGGUGGGUAGUUUGACUGGGGCGGUCUCCUCCCAAAGCGUAACGGAGGAGCACGAAGGUUAGCUAAUCCUGGUCGGACAUCA